GCAAACACUAUGCAUGACAGCCGAAGUUAGAAAGGAACAUGGUAUUUCAGAGAGAGAAAAAAAGAAGUCUAGAGUGCCUAGAGAAGACAGAGCCAAGGAAACAGUGGCUGAAGAUGCAGCUGGAGAAAGAUGCCGGGGCCAUGUAACACACCGCCUUUUAUGCAGCAUUAGAGUCUGCCUUGUGACAUACAGGCCAUUUUGCUGAUAGGUGGAAGACCACUGAUGAGAAUGACGGAAACCAAUGGAGCAAGAGGAGGAGAGGCAUCACUCAGUUAAUCCAGACAAGUCAGCCCUGGAGAAAGAGUUGCCCAAACACCUGGAUUUGGUUCUCCCAGCUUUGGUUUACACCCCGAGGGUGCCUAGGAUGGUGGUGGGCAAUACGUGGAAGAGUGGAAAGGUUGAACCCUGAAAGCAGGUGUGAACAGGGGGCCAGUUGUAAAUGUCUAGCCUGCAGCCCAUCCAUCUCCUGCCUCAUGUUGACUGAAUGAAUAAGCACGGGUAUGGAUGGCCAUUGUUGAAAGUAGAAUGUCUUGAUAUAACUGCUAUCCAAGAUUCAUCAGACAAGUGCUCUGCGUGUAGAGAUGAGAGAUGAGUUCUGAUGGGAAGACCAAGGAAGGCUCCUGCCUGAGGAACCUCUGAUCCUCAUUCAGAAUUCAUCAUUUUGAAGAGUAACUGGUCACUAUCAAGUUCUUCCUGUGAACAUCAGCGUCCUCUUUGAUCCAACGCAUUUUUCUCCCUUUGACCCACAAGCAGCUGAAAUUCUGAGGACCAUAAAGUUCACCCACUUCUUAGAAGUCUGUUUUUAAAGCCCUCAGUUUCGGGGAUGGACAUGUCCUGACCUUGUCUCUGCAACUAUAAAUGUCCUUGAACCUCAGGACAAGCCUGAUACAGCUGACACACCAGAAGGAAAAAAAAAAAAAACCCAUGGGGACAGGUGAUGUUGGCUAACCUAUCUCAACUCUUGCUUUAGUGCCAUGGCUCCCAAAUUGAACGAUGAGUCACCCUGGGAGAUUGCAGUGAACACAGGGGCUUCCGUGCGAUAUUUCAUAUUUCCAGGGGAAACACAGACAUAUUCAACAUUUGUCAGACACUGUGCAAACUAUUAAUUCAAGGUAAUUCAAUUCCAAUAUUAGACUCACACUCCAUUCCUUUCAAUGAUAUUAUAUAUCUUUGCAAAGUUAGACUUUAAGCAGUUGCUAAGAAGAAAAGCAAGUGCUGCACAGAAGUCAAUAUGGAGCAGGAAACCAGCUUUCAAUCUUAUUGCAAGCUUUGAGAACUGUAGGCAGUGCCCAGUAGGCACUCACAUUUCGUUAAUAAAUAAUUAGGGUUAUUCAAGAAUGAAAUAAAAAUAUUGUUUUUUCUUUCAAACUUUUUUAGUAACUUUUCAGUCAGCUACAAACUUGUGAAAACCUAAACACUAAGUUGUUAGGACCUAGUUAAUAAAUAGAACAAUCAGACGUUUCUUUGGCCCAGGGGUACAGUGAAAAAAAUACUGCCACAGACCAAGAAAGGUUAGAAGUCUCUAGUCCAUAACCACAUGGACUCCUCAACGAAAUCUUGCUAGAAUACUAGAAAUUAAAAAUAAUGAUAAUAACAGCAGUAGUAAUAAGAGUUGUAGUUAACACAUAUGAAGCAUUUAUGUGCAAUGUUCUAUGCAAAGGAUUUCUCAGACAGUAUUUCAUUUACCUGCCUUAGGCAAUUUAUGUUUUUUAACCCAGAAGCAUUAGUUUUAAUUUUUCCCAGAGUCUACUGCCCCUGGACCUACAGAGAAAAUGUAGGAACCAGUUGAAUUUUUUGUAAUAAAUUUAAUUGAAAACACUAUAAUUUUUUUCUAACAAUUGUAAAACAAAGUUUCUAUUUCUUGCUGCAUUUUCAACAACCUGCAUGUUUUUUUAAAAAAAACCUAUUCAUUUCUUCUAAUUCUGCAACUUUUCUCCAGAUUCAUAAAUAAAAAUCCAUCAACCAAAAUUAAUUCAGCACUACUUCAUGCUAGGCGGUAUAGAGGAUACAACAGGACUUAAAUGCAUGGUCUGUGUCCUCAAACAACUUCCAAUAGGAUUUAUACGUAAAAAUGUGCUUAGUUGCUCUAUUGUGUCCAACUCUUUGUUACCCCAUGGACUGUAGCCCGCUGGGCUGCUCUGUCCAUGGAAUUCUCCAGGCAAGAAUACUGGAGUGGGUUCCCAUACCCUCCUCCAGGGGAUCUUCCCAAUCCAGGGGUCGAACCCAGGUCUCCUGCGUUGCAGAAGAACUUAACCAUCUGAGCCACCAGAGAAGCCCAUUCAUCGGCUUCUGGAGUGGGUAGCCUACCAAAGGAAAAUAAAAACCGUAUCUACUAAAGGACUAAGUAGGGAAAUAUAGAGUAGAAAUAUUAUCCUGAGAGUGGAAUGUGCCCUGAGGUUGAAUUGUCAUGGACGUGGCCCAUCUGCAAGUUGUCGUCCUGUCUCAUUUCUCUCUUGCUGUAAACAAACUUCUCCUUUCUAGCCAUCUCUUCCGGAAACUCAACACUUGCACCUGUUCUAGGACACCUAUCCAUUUCCACUCGAAGGAAGGCUUUGUUUCUAUGGAAAUCACCUCCACUUUGCA
ensembl:lncRNA